UGUCUGCUCAGGAAGGCCCCUCCCUCCCCGGUGGGGGCUCCGUCCUUGAGUGGCAGCCCGAGAAUGUGCCUGCCUGGUGUCCAGGACCCGUGGUGUCUUCCCCUCCUCUCUGCCAUAGGACACAGGGCAAGGAGGAGCCCUCCCAGCUCAUGUGUUCCUAGGAGCCUGGUUGUUCCUGGAGAAAAAGAUUCCACAAGGUGAAGUUUCUAAUACUCAGGAUUUGUAAAAAGCCAGGUAUCUAAUAGGACUAGUGAAGAAUACUGCAGCUGCGCUCCAGGCGGAAGUGAGAACACUGGGAAAAUCUUUAUGCGCUGUCAAUACGAUUUAAGAAAGCCUUCACAGAUACAGAGUAUUUCCAAAACUCAACAGUGAAGUGCGGAAAUGAAACAAACGUCUUCUAGCAAGCCACUGAAUUGCUCCCAAGUAAUUGAUGGUGGUGAAUGUGUCCAGGUCCCGGAGGAUGUUCUGUGAUGUUCCUUUCAUUUCACUGAAGGAGCAAAUGGAAAAGGCAAAGCGCAGGCAGAACAAGCGACCUACCCUACAGAUCAGUGGGAGUAGAGCAGAGGCCUCUGGGCUCCCAGGUUGGUGGUUAUCCAGGAAGACCAACACUCCUCAAAUGUACGGCAUUGAUCCUGGAAAGCAAUCACUGUGACAGAACUGUGAGCAGACCAGCAUAGAUAGGUUCUGACAGGUUAUUUCCCAAGCUGGAUGACAAAGAAAAAUGGACUCAGCGCUCAGGAGCACUUUGUAAACCCAUAAACUCAAAAGUCCACUUGAAGGAGACCUUGAAGUUAUCUAUUGCUGGCGUUACCAAAGGAAGAAGAACAGACCAUUCUAUUAAGCAAAUCUCUUCUGCUGGUGACGUUAAAAUAAUUUAGUGGAACCUCGGCCAUUCCCAAGUCACAGGAAUGUGCCAUAGCCAAGGACUCAGCCCCUCCCUGUUCCAUAAAAGGUAUGAGUUCAUACUAUGCUGUCAAAUCACUGUCCCAAUAUUUUCAACAGCAGGGGUCAAACAUUUAGGAUUUUAUUCAUGUCCUUUAAACACUUAAACUUGAGAUAUGUAGAGAAAUCCACCAGUCUCCUUCAGUAUUCAUUUAAACUUGGUCCUUAUGAAGAUGUUCUGAGUCACAGGGCAUCAGGAGAAUGAAUUCAAGGACACUUCUUUUGGUUCUCUUUUAUUCAGAGAAUAUCAGGCUCUCAGAAGGGUGGCUGAAAUGCAGCUGCAGAGAGGGAACCCUUGUUCUAAAGUUAACAACCUAAAAUAGCUCUAAACUUGGUAAAAUGGAUUUUGUUCUCUGUCUUUGGUAUAUAUGGCAAUAAACCGGCUAUGAUCUGCUCUGCUUUUUAUUACAGUUGGAAGCGAGUGCCUUUUACCAUAAAAACCACAGUUUCAAGUCCUGAUAGAUACAAUCUGAAAACCCUCCACAGUGCUACUAGCCAAAACAAAUUCUGUUCAACAUGUGAAGCUUGGUACUUGCUGGCUGUGUGACCUUGAACAAAUACCUUGCCCUCUGUUUCCUCACCAGUCAUGGAGUUGGUCUAGAACCUACCUCGUAAGGAUGUGAAGAAUAAAUGAAGUUGUCCAAAUGGAGUACUUAGUAUAGUGUUGGGCACACGGCAGACACUAAACUUUAGCCAUUACUGAAAAAAGAAACUUCAGGUAUUUGGCACUAAAGUGUCUUUCUGUUAAGCUUUCCAUUUAAGCUCAUCUUUCCUUCCCUACUCUCUCACUCACCAUGAACGUUCUUGAAGGAAGAGUCUACUCCUACUGUGACCUCUCAUGCUCCCAGGCACCUUGAACUUUCAGUGCUGUGGCUUCCACCCCAAUCUCCUAACAUGGUCUCUCAAGCUCACCAAUGACCUGUCAAGUCUAUUGCCUAAUUUAAGUUUCUUCCACUUGGCCAUGGGACCACAAGUGGACUGACUAUUCCUUUUUAAAAGUGGCUUUCUCCCUGGGCUUCCAUGGCACACCAUUUCUUGAUUCUCUCCCCACCUCUCCCCAUCACUUUGAUUCUUCCCUGUCAGUUUCAUUCCUUUCUUGGCUGGGGUAAGAGGUCGGAGAGGUCUGGGUUUGAGUGCGUCUCUGCUGCGUACUAGGUGUGUGACCUCAGGUUAACUUCUUAAUCUCUAUGAGCCUGUGUUUUCUCAUCAGCCUCAAGGUGAUAAAAACAGUACCUCUUUUUCAGAGUUUGUUUUGAGAAUUAAAUAAAAUAUGUAUUUAGCCUAGCAUUUGUAGUGCAGUCUGAACUCAUACCUACUGUGGCAUUAGUAAUAUCUGUCAUUCAGCACAUUUACUGUGGAAUAAACAGGGGCCAGAUACUAUCUAUAUUUGUCUGCUUCUCAACCUUUACUGUAACAUUAGCCCAUUCUUUCCCUCCUCACCCUCUAUGUGACCCUUUAUUCCUCUUCCUCCUGAAUUUACUGUGUUAGUUAGUGGCCCUCUGUCCACCCAGCAUCCUACAUUCAGUUCACCUUUAACUGUUAACUCUCCAUCAUACCCUGCAUCCAAGUGUUGAUGCAGUCCAGGGCAUUUAUCUCAGCUACAGUCAACUGAACUGGGUCCUUCCUAAUCAAGUGCCAAGCUACUCAUUUGCCACACCCAACAAACUCCAGUCUCUAUCUACUGCCUAAUUUUUUCCUUGACAAAUUUUAGAAAAUUGUUAAAUUUUGAUCAGUCUCUUUCUGUAGGUAGAGUAUGUAAUAAAUGAAUUUGUAAAUAAAUCAGUGUGAAUAACAAGGAAUGCUAUGUCCAGCUCUGUCCCUAACGGUGUCCAAACAUUAACAGAUUUUGGUGGCCAACCCUGUUUUCUGCUAGAAGAAAGCAAAGUUCUUCGGAAAGCAGUGGGUUCCAUACCUUGGGGCAAAGAAAACUCAGAACGGCCUGACAUAUUUUAUUGCCAGACAACAAAGAUAUUAAAGAUACCUUCAGAGAUGGUAGGGAUAGCACCCAAAGAGAAGCCAGUUUAAAGCAGGUACUACUAGAUAAGUUGUAUAUCCACUGUGAUGUUAGAACAUCGAUAGCAAUAAAAGUCGUAACAGUGAAGAGGAUAACAAUUAUAAUAAUUUUAUAUAACUUUGUUGCAGCCAUAACUGGUUAAUGUUGAGUUAAUAGAAAAUGUACAAAAAUGAAGUUGAAAUCCAAAACAAGAUUAACUAUAACCAGAUGCUUAAUUUUUAUUUGAUUGCUGUUAAUAUGUAAAGAUUAUUAAAAUACUUAGAUGUUUUAUUUCUUUUAUGUAUCUAUCUAUAUGUGAAAGUAUUACUUGUUUCUAUCUGUGCCAGUAGCAGUAGGUAAAUACAGGAAACUGAGAGUAAGCUAAGGCAUUUCAGAAAGAAUAGAAACUGUUCCAGCCUAAAUGUCCAUCAACUGAUGACUGAAUAAAUAUGAUGUAUUUUUAUACAAUGGAAUACUAUUCAGCCAUAAAAAUGGACAACACAACGCCAUUUGCAGCAACAUGGAUGCUCCUGGAGAAUGUCAUUCUAAGUGAAGUAAGCCAGAAAGAGAAAGAAAAAUAUCAUAUGAGAUUGCUCAUAUGCAGAAUCUAAAAAACAAAACAAAACAAAACAUAAAUACAAAACAGAAACAGACUCAUAGACAUAGAAUACAAACUUGUGGUUGCCAGGGGGAUGGGAGGUGGGAAGGGACAGACUGGGAUUUCAAAAAGUAGAAUAGAUAAACAAGAUUGUACUGCGUAGCACAGGGAAAUAUAUACAGGAUCUUGUGGUGGCUCACAGUGAAAGAGAAUGUGACAAUGUAUGUAUGUUCACGUGUAACUGAAAAAUUGUGCUCUACACUGGAAUUUGGCGCAACAUUGUAAAAUGACUAUGACUCAAUAAAAAAAAUGGUUUUUUUUUUUAAAAAA